UACAGAGGGUGCUAGCGUUGUUCGGAAUUACUGGGCGUAAAGCGUGCGCAGGCGGCCACCGCAAGUCGACUGUGAAAUCUCCGGGCUUAACUCGGAAAGGUCAGCCGAUACUGCGGGGCUAGAGUGCAGAAGGGGCAACUGGAAUUCUCGGUGUAGCGGUGAAAUGCGUAGAUAUCGAGAGGAACACCUGCGGCGAAGGCGGGUUGCUGGGCUGACACUGACGCUGAUUGUGCGAAAGCUAGGGGAGCGAACGGG
rnacentral:rRNA from 1 species